rfam:Triticum aestivum genome assembly, contig: Triticum_aestivum_CS42_TGACv1_scaffold_146930_2BS
GGGAGAAUGGCCGAGCGGUCAAAAGUGACAGACUUUAAAUCUGUUGAAGGUUUUCUACGUUGGUUCGAAUCAUGCCUCUCCGA